GUUUAUGUCUUCUUCUGGGGCAGAAUUAUGACACAUGCCUUAUGUCAAUGAAGUAAAAGUCAGAUAUAAUGUGACAUGAUUGUUAUGUUACUUUUAAAACCU